CCCUGGUUUUUCUAGUGGUUAAGACUCCAUGCUUCCAAUAUAGGGAGUGUGGGUUCAAUCCCUCAUUAGGGA
rnacentral:tRNA from 1 species